rnacentral:rRNA from 1 species
UACGAAGGGGGCUAGCGUUGCUCGGAAUCACUGGGCGUAAAGGGUGCGUAGGCGGGUCUUUAAGUCAGGGGUGAAAUCCUGGAGCUCAACUCCAGAACUGCCUUUGAUACUGAGGAUCUUGAGUUCGGGAGAGGUGAGUGGAACUGCGAGUGUAGAGGUGAAAUUCGUAGAUAUUCGCAAGAACACCAGUGGCGAAGGCGGCUUACUGGACCGGUUCUGACGCUGAGGCGCGAAAGCGUGGGGAGCAAACAGG